rnacentral:misc_RNA from 1 species
AAGUCGUAACAAGGUUUCCGUAGGUGAACCUGCGGAAGGAUCAUUUGAGGUGAAGAGAGGUGGGGAGGGGGUUUGAGGUGGGUUGGAGGGGGUAUGUUCCCUUUCCUUCCCUUCUUUUUCUCCCCCUUCCCACCCAACAAAAAGAGAUGGUGUGGUCAUUUUUCCCAAGUUGUGAUUCAAUUGCACACACGCAUUCCAUUGUUGUGGGGUUAAACCCUUGGCAGCAGUGGACAUGUGUUGUGUGUGGUUGGGUUACCAUUUGAUAUGGUUGAAGCUUAUCCCUACCCAUUUACAGGUGAGAAACAAAGACAAAGGAUUGUUAACAAAGAAAACAACUGUCAAUGGUGGAUCUCUAGGCUCGU